UACAGAGGUCUCAAGCGUUGUUCGGAUUCAUUGGGCGUAAAGGGUGCGUAGGCGGCGAGGUAAGUCGGAUGUGAAAUCCCGGGGCUCAACCCCGGAACUGCAUUCGAUACUGCUUUGCUUGAGUACUGGAGAGGAGACUGGAAUUUACGGUGUAGCAGUGAAAUGCGUAGAUAUCGGGAGAAACACCGGUGGCGAAGGCGGUUCUCUGGGCCUUACCUGACGCUGAGGAGCGAAAGCGUGGGGAGCGAACAGG
rnacentral:rRNA from 1 species